AUUGAACGCUGGCGGAAUGCUUUACACAUGCAAGUCGAGCGGCAGCGCGGCCUUCGGGCUGGCGGCGAGCGGCGAACGGGUGAGUAAUGCAUCGGAACAUGCCCAGUCGUGGGGGAUAACACUUCGAAAGAAGUGCUAAUACCGCAUACGUCCUGAGGGGGAAAGCGGGGGAUUGCAAGACCUCGCGCGAUUGGAGUGGCCGAUGUCAGAUUAGCUAGUUGGUGGGGUAAAGGCCUACCAAGGCGACGAUCUGUAGCUGGUCUGAGAGGAUGAUCAGCCACACUGGGACUGAGACACGGCCCAGACUCCUACGGGAGGCAGCAGUGGGGAAUUUUGGACAAUGGGGGCAACCCUGAUCCAGCCAUUCCGCGUGAGUGAAGAAGGCCUUCGGGUUGUAAAGCUCUUUCGGCAGGAACGAAACGGUGGGCUCUAACAUAGUCCGCUAAUGACGGUACCUGAAGAAGAAGCACCGGCUAACUACGUG
rnacentral:rRNA from 1 species